AGAGACUGCCGCCGUAAGGUGUGAGGAAGGUGGGGAUGACGUCAAAUCAGCACGGCCCUUACGUCCGGGGCUACACACGUGUUACAAUGGCCGGUACAGAGCGAGGGUGUCCCGCAAGGUGCAUCAAACCGCGAAAACCGGUCCCAGUUCGGACUGGGGUCUGCAACCCGACCCCACGAAGCUGGAUUCGCUAGUAAUCGCGCAUCAGCCAUGACGCGGUGAAUACGUUCCCGGGCCUUGUACACACCGCCCGUCAAGCCAUGAAAGCCGGGAGUGCCUGAAGUC
rnacentral:rRNA from 1 species